GCAUGCGCAGCUACACAUGCAAGUCGAGCGGUAACAGGGGUAGCUUGCUACCCGCUGACGAGCGGCGGACGGGUGAGUAAUGCAUAGGAAUCUGCCCGAUAGUGGGGGAUAACCUGGGGAAACCCAGGCUAAUACCGCAUACGUCCUACGGGAGAAAGGGGGCUUCGGCUCCCGCUAUUGGAUGAGCCUAUGUCGGAUUAGCUAGUUGGUGAGGUAAUGGCUUACCAAGGCAACGAUCCGUAGCUGGUCUGAGAGGAUGAUCAGCCACAUCGGGACUGAGACACGGCCCGAACUCCUACGGGAGGCAGCAGUGGGGAAUAUUGGACAAUGGGGGCAACCCUGAUCCAGCCAUGCCGCGUGUGUGAAGAAGGCCCUCGGGUUGUAAAGCACUUUCAGCGAGGAAGAACGCCUAUCGGUUAAUACCCGGUAGGAAAGACAUCACUCGCAGAAGAAGCACCGGCUAACUCCGUGCCAGCAGCCGCGGUAAUACGGAGGGUGCAAGCGUUAAUCGGAAUUACUGGGCGUAAAGCGCGCGUAGGUGGCUUGAUAAGCCGGUUGUGAAAGCCCCGGGCUCAACCUGGGAACGGCAUCCGGAACUGUCAGGCUAGAGUGCAGGAGAGGAAGGUAGAAUUCCCGGUGUAGCGGUGAAAUGCGUAGAGAUCGGGAGGAAUACCAGUGGCGAAGGCGGCCUUCUGGACUGACACUGACACUGAGGUGCGAAAGCGUGGGUAGCAAACAGGAUUAGAUACCCUU
rnacentral:rRNA from 1 species